rnacentral:lncRNA from 1 species
AAUAUUCAAAGCCAGUAAUGUUAUUUCCUCUGAUUCAUAGGAGAAUUAUUUGAACCACGUAGCCUGCAGGUGAGCUCUGGGUUCAGAGAAGUGAUGUUUGCCCAACGUCAGGGCUCUUGUUUGAACUUCUCUGCUGCAACCAGGUGAGCAGACACCAGUUCUCUCUGGUGACCCCACCCACGCUGUGAGACAUGACAUCCCGCCCCCUCAGGGUCUCCUGUGGCACCUGCUGCCCACCCACUCGUCUGGGGAUCCUGACAAGAUGUCCAUCUGCACCCAGCCUGUGCCUAGCAGAGCAGGUGAGCAGCUCUGGGUGUUUCUGGAAUCAGAUUUCAGAACUUAAAUGGAAGCUUAUCACUGUUCAUAGUCAUGGGAUCAUUUGGCCAAUGGGGGAACCUGGGAGGCAG